AUUGAACGCUAGCGGGAUGCUUUACACAUGCAAGUCGAACGAGUGGCGGACGGGUGAGUAAUAUAUCGGAACGUGCCCAGUAGCGGGGGAUAACUACUCGAAAGAGGGCUAAUACCGCAUACUAUCGGAUGAAUCCAACUGGGAUUAGCUAGUAGGUGGGGUAAUGGCUCACCUAGGCGACGAUCCCUAGCUGGUCUGAGAGGAGGAUCAGCCACACUGUGACUGAGACACGGCCCAGACUCCUACGGGAGGAAGCAGUGGGGAAUAUUGCACAAUGGGCGCAAUCCUGAUGCAGCCAUGCCGCGUGUAUGAAGAAGGCCCUGGGGUUGUAAAGUACUUUUGGCAGAGAAGCGGUAUCUGCAGAAUAAGCACCGGCUAACUACGUGCCAGCAGCCGCGGUAAUAC
rnacentral:rRNA from 1 species